rnacentral:lncRNA from 1 species
CUCAGCCCAGGUCUGAUCCUACAGCAAAUCUAAAGGUCAGGGAGCUUUUCCAAUAAUCAGCAGGUUUAACAGUCCUGGUUUUGUAUUUUCCAGAAAUUGUCCCUAAGGUGUUCCACGAGACUGAUCAAGUCACAAACUACAAGUGAGUCCUGUGCUGUGACGAAUGCAAGAAAGGACACUGAGAAUUAGACACCGGGUCUUUACUGCUGUCCGAUGCGACGGGGGAGUGGGGAACCCCUGGAAAGAUCACCACCUGCACUGGAGCUGGGGUUUCUCGUCUGUUAAAUUAGAGAGUCAAACAAGAGAAUCUCUUCAGUCCUGUUAAUUAAAGAGAUGCUGGUUUAUUCAUCCCCCACCC